CUAAAUCGCUGAAACCAUAGGUACGGGGGAACCAUUUUUGUGGGUUGUUACUAAACCCAAGGGGUGAAUCCUUUAAAGGUAGGGCUACUCAAGGUCCGAAUCCGACAGCUAACCUCGUAAGCGUUAAAUGAGAAG
rnacentral:sRNA from 1 species